AAUGAAUUUAAGCUUCAUAUAUAAAGAAAGGCCUUUUAUUAGAA
rnacentral:tRNA from 1 species